rnacentral:rRNA from 1 species
GUGAGUAGUUCAGAGUUUGAUCCUGGCUCAGGAUGAACGCUGGCGGCGUGCUUAACACAUGCAAGUCGAACGGACUUUACAUGAAGCCUAGCGAUUGUAAAGUUAGUGGCGGACGGGUGAGUAACGCGUGGGUAACCUGCCCUACACUGGGGGAUAACACUUAGAAAUAGGUGCUAAUACCGCAUAAGCGCACGAAACCGCAUGGUUUUGUGUGAAAAACUCCGGUGGUGUAGGAUGGACCCGCGUCUGAUUAGCUAGUUGGUGAGGUAACGGCCCACCAAGGCGACGAUCAGUAGCCGGCCUGAGAGGGUGACCGGCCACAUUGGGACUGAGACACGGCCCAA